UACGUAGGGAGCGAGCGUUAUCCGGAAUUAUUGGGCGUAAAGGGUGCGUAGAUGGCAAUAUAAGUUUUAUGUAAAAUUGUUGGGCUCAACCCAAUAGGGCAUAAGAUACUGUAUAGCUAGAGUAUUAAAGAGGCAAGUGGAACUCCAUGUGUAGCGGUAAAAUGCGUAAAUAUAUGGAAGAACACCAGUGGCGAAGGCGGCUUGCUAGUUAAAUACUGACAUUGAGGCACGAAAGCGUGGGGAGC
rnacentral:rRNA from 1 species